rnacentral:rRNA from 1 species
UCCGUAGGCGGGCAAUUAAGUCAGAGGUGAAAUCCCACAGCUCAACUGUGGAACUGCCUUUGAUACUGGUUGUCUUGAGUUACAGUGAAGUAGAUAGAAUAUGUAGUGUAGCGGUGAAAUGCAUAGAUAUUACAUAGAAUACCGAUUGCGAAGGCAGUCUACUAACUGUAUACUGACGCUAAUGGACGAAAGCGUGGGGAGCGAACAGGUUUAGAUACCCUGGUAGUCC